UAGAACGGCCGGUAACAAUACAUCAACUAUUUCGAAGACUAACAGCUGAAAGCAGCAGCCAAAAUCCUGGUGGAGGGAUCAAAGCCAAAAUCUAUCAUGGUAAGAUCUGCCAGUGAGGAGUUGAGGGUAUGCUCUCUUUGUUAGCCAUAAUAUAUAUGAAAUUGGACUCAACUACAAUGCAACAUAUGCCACAACCACUUCGUGUUGAGUACCGUACCAUAAUUUUGAACCUCGACGUACUGUAUGCACAAGUAUAAG
rnacentral:misc_RNA from 1 species